AAAAAAUACUGCGUAUUGGGUCUGUGUCCGUCUUUGGAAAUUAUUUAUUUUUUUCUAGUCGUAGCGAAAUUUAUCGAUCUAACUCUUUGGAUUCAAUUUCUUGAGAAUAAAUUUUUCUAGGUCGUAAAAUUGGGGUUUGGAGAAACUUGUUGUAGUUGAGAAAAUUGAGGGGUGGGGGAGAAUUAGGGUUCAUCUACGCUGGUGGGUUUUAGGGUUAAGUAAAUGGCGGAUCCGUUAGGGAUCCGAUUUGUUUCUUCUUCUGGUCUCUUUUAUCAGUUUACAUAUAUCUAAAACUAAAAGUCUCAACCUUUGAGCUUCGUGUAGUGUUUUGAGAAAUUACAGUUUUUUAGUUAGGAAAAAAAAAGAAAUGCUUAGCGUUACACGAGUGCAUCUACCGUCGGAGAUACCUAUUGUUGGAUGUGAACUUACUCCGUACGUUCUUCUCCGCCGGCCUGAUAAGACUCCCACCACCGAUGAUGUACCUGAAUCAGCUCCGCUUGAAGGUCACUUCUUAAAGUACAGAUGGUAUCGGGUACAGAGUGAUAAAAAAGUUGCUAUUUGUAGUGUGCAUCCAUCUGAGCCGGCUACAUUGCAGUGUUUGGGAUGUUUAAAGUCUAAGGUUCCUGUUUCCAAAAGUUUCCACUGUUCUACCAAGUGCUUUUCAGAUGCGUGGCAGCAUCACCGUGUGUUGCACGAGCGUGCUGCCAGUGCUGCUGCUACAGAAGGGAAUGAUGAAGAAGAGUUGCUUCGUUUGAAUAGUUCAGGGUCUGGAUCUGGCAUUCUCAGCACCAGUGGUAGUUUAACGAAUGUUUAUUCCGCAGCCAUAACUCAAAAGACAGGUUCUGGAGGAGAAACACUUGUUGAGGUUGGACGCUCUAAGACAUACACACCAAUGGCUGAUGAUAUUGGCCAUGUUUUGAAGUUUGAGUGUGUAGUGGUCAAUGCCGAGACAAAACAGAAUGUGGGCCUUUCUUGUACCAUAUUGACCUCCCGUGUUAUUCCAGCUCCAUCACCUUCUCCGCGAAGGCUGAUCCCUGUUAGUGGAGCUGAUGUCAUCGGACAGCUGGAUUCUAAUGGAAGACCUUUUUCUAUGGGAUCAUUCACUGUGCUCUCCUACAAUAUAUUGGCUGAUACAUAUGCUAGCAGCGAUAUAUACAGUUACUGUCCCGCGUGGGCUCUCGCUUGGACAUACCGUAGACAGAAUUUACUACGGGAAAUUGUCAAGUAUCGCGCAGAUAUAGUUUGUCUGCAAGAGGUACAGAAUGAUCAUUUUGAUGAGUUUUUCGCUCCUGAGCUGGAUAAGCAUGGAUACCAAGCUCUUUUCAAGAGGAAAACAAAUGAGGUUUACGUUGGUAAUACAAACACAAUUGAUGGAUGUGCUACUUUUUUCAGAAGAGACAGGUUUUCUCAUGUUAAAAAAUACGAGGUUGAGUUCAAUAAGGCUGCCCAGUCUUUGACCGAGGCUCUUAUUCCUGCUGUUACCCAGAAGAAGACUGCUUUGAAUCGUUUGGUUAAGGACAAUGUUGCUUUAAUAGUUGUACUGGAAGCAAAAUUUGGAAACCAGGCUGCUGACAAUCCUGGGAAGCGCCAGCUACUUUGUGUGGCUAACACGCAUGUAAACGUUUCUCAUGAACUGAAGGAUGUAAAGCUCUGGCAGGUUCACACAUUAUUGAAGGGACUGGAGAAAAUAGCUGCUAGUGCAGAUAUUCCGAUGCUUGUGUGUGGAGAUUUCAACACAGUACCAGCGAGUGCUCCUCAUUCACUUCUUGCUAUGGGGAAGGUCGAUCCAUUGCACCCAGAUUUGAUGGUCGAUCCUCUUGGAAUUUUGCGUCCUCACACCAAGCUAACUCAUCAGCUGCCAUUGGUUAGUGCUUACUCAUCAUUUGCAAGAAUGGGAGGCAGCCUUAUUGCUGAGCAGCAAAGGAGAAGAAUGGAUCCUGCAUCAAAUGAACCAUUGUUUACCAACUGUACCAGGGACUUUAUAGGCACACUUGAUUACAUAUUUUACACAGCUGAUACGUUAACAGUGGAAUCAUUAUUGGAACUGUUGGAUGAAGAGAGCUUGAGGAAGGACACUGCUCUUCCAUCUCCAGAAUGGUCUUCUGAUCACAUUGCACUUUUAGCUGAAUUCCGCUGCAUGCCCAGGGCCAGACGCUGAUGCUGCAAACUUCACAGGUGAAAAAAUAAUUUGUAGAGAUACUGCAGCUGUAAUAAACGCUACUCAAAGACAUGUUCCAGUGGAGAUGGUUAAUCUACAUGAGGAAGAUCGCGUGCCAUGUCCCCGGGUUUUCUCCUGCUGGGUUUUUCGCUUGCGUUCUACUCUAUCACAGUUUUAUUUAGUUUGCUCCCAAUGUAAGAAGUAUGAUAACUUUUCGGUUCGUUUGGUUUUUCUUCUUAUAGUUAUUCCUCUUUGCCAGCAGGUUUUGUCUUCACUGGCUUGUCAUUGUAACAAUGUAAACAUUAGAUUCUUCAAAAAAAUGUUGACGGGAGUUUACAGUCAAA